rnacentral:rRNA from 1 species
UAAUACGUAGGAUGCGAGCGUUGUCCGGAAUUAUUGGGCGUAAAGCGAACGUAGGCGGUUUCUUAAGAUUGGUCUUAAAGACCGGGGCUCAACCCCGGGAAUGGAUCGAUAACUGGGAGACUGGAGGACGUCAGAGGAAAGUGGAAUUCCGAGUGUAGCGGUGAAAUGCGUAGAUAUUCGGAGGAACACCAGUGGCGAAAGCGACUUUCUGGGACGUUCCUGACGCUGAGGUUCGAAAGCUCGGGGAGCAAACAGGAUUAGAUACCCUGGUAGUCCGAGCCGUAAACGAUGGAUACUAGGUGUCGUGGGUAUCGACCCCCGCGGUGCCGUAGCUAACGCGUUAAGUAUCCCGCCUGGGGAGUACGGUCGCAAGACUG